rnacentral:rRNA from 1 species
UACGGAGGGUGCGAGCGUUAAUCGGAAUUAUUGGGCGUAAAGGGUGCGUAGGUUGUUAAUUAAGUUAUCUGUGAAAUCCCUGGGCUCAACCUGGGCAGGUCAGAUAAGACUGAUUAACUCGAGUAUGGGAGAGGAUAGUGGAAUUUCCGGUGUAGCGGUGAAAUGCGUAGAGAUCGGAAGGAACACCAGUGGCGAAGGCGGCUAUCUGGCCCAAUACUGACACUGAGGCACGAAAGCGUGGGGAGCAAACAGG